rnacentral:rRNA from 1 species
UACGUAGGGUGCAAGCGUUGUUCGGAAUUACUGGGCGUAAAGAGUGUGUAGGCGGUGCUCCCAGUCUGUUGUGAAAUCUCCCGGCUUAACUGGGAGGGUGCAGCGGAAACUAGAGUGCUAGAGGGUGGGAGAGGUAAGCGGAAUUCCUGGUGUAGCGGUGAAAUGCGUAGAUAUCAGGAGGAACACCUGUGGUGUAGACAGCUUACUGGACCACUUCUGACGCUGAGACACGAAAGCGUGGGUAGCAAACAGG